UAAAACUAACAAACAAUAAUGAAUUGUGGUCAUUAAUAUGUUGAAAAAAUAAUUCUUUUGAGUUUGAUUCUUGUAGUUUCAAAUGCUAUUGUUUAUUUUGUUAUGUUACAUAUAUCUUGUAAGUUUGUGGCAUUGCUCAUCUACAAAGCUACAGAGUUUAGCCUGAAUAUACAAACUGUUAAUAAUUAUAUCAAUUUAAAAACUUCUCCCUACUUGUUUUUAUUUACUUAUAUUUUUUUUUAAAUUCAGAGGAGAAGUACUUUGCAAGUUGUCUGAAGGCAUUUUGAAGACGUUUUGAGCUUUUACAGCAGAACGCAUGCUGUUGUAUCCAGAAUGAUAUUUGCCUUUUUUUGAAAUAAACAACGCCUUCACGGAAAACUACUGGUUACCCCUGUUGCCUCACAGCAGGGAGGUCCUGGGUUUGAACCCUGGCACCCUUUCUGUGUGGACCUUACACUGACAAAAAAAAAUGCUAAGUUAAUGUUGACUGUCUGGGCCGAAGACACUCUUGCCGAAGAGAUUGUUGAUGUCAAGAGUUCCACUUUCUGAUUAAAUAAAGGUCGAUGCCUAAAACAUGUGCACGUUAGCCAUGCUCUGUGCUUUAAUGCACCUCCCAUCAUGGAUGCUGGCUAUUGAACUGCACUGAUAACAAGUCAGAUGUCCUUCUCCUCUUUUGCACAGAGAAUUAAAUGUUGAUGAUAUAUAAAAAAGGGACUUUUAUAUUAUGAUUGGUCAGAUCUUAUUACAGUUUUCCUCUUCCUUUCUCUUUUAAAUUGUUGUUGCACUGUAUGAUUUUAGCCUUUAUCAAAAAAGAACUGUGCUAAUGUAACUACUUCUUCUAGAGAACCAUGUGUGUUUUCUAUACACUGCAGCCUGAAGACCCAGAAAUCAUAGACAUAGACUGUUUAUUUAUUUAAAAUCUUCUGCUCCAAUUUUCUUUUUUCAAAAAUUUGUUUUGCUGAUAUGAAAUGUAAAAAUUGCAUAAAAUUGUCAUUUUUUAAAAUAUCAUUUAUAUAUUUAUAUAGAGAGCUCAUGCUUAUUCGAAAAAGUCAUACUUUAUUUUAGUAUUCUGAAAGAUUUCUGUACCCAUUUUGAAUUUUUAAAAUGACCUGUGAGACUUCUGUACCUUUAGCAUAACUCUACAUUUAAUUAUUAUUCAAAUUGCAAUCCCGUAAUUCCCCCUGUAGAUUUUUCUUCCAGUAUUACGUUACAUCAAUUAUACAGAAAGUAAUAAAAGCUUGUAUGUGUCUCUUGUGGAAAUAAACAGAAAACCUGCAAUAACGUAAUAAUCAAUAGUCAUAAUCGUAGCAUUAAGAUUGCAGUGAAUCGCUCCCCUACGCUGCAAUGCACUUUUUUACGGUUUACCUUUUUGGAGGAUAUGCAAUUUAAUUGAAGUAAUAAGCUGAUCAGAUGGCUGUUUGUGCAGCUCGCUGUAGGCAGCGGUAUCAAACUAAGACUCUUUUCCAUUAGUUGAACAACCUGUAGGCUGAUCAGCUGCUUAGCAGACUUUAAUCACAUCGUCAUUGUGUGCAAACUCACCCAUGGCGUUUAUAUUCAAAGACAGAUCUGCGUUUCAUUUUAUUUAAAAAUAAAAAUCGGAUUUAUUCCAGUUGGUAAAGUUGCUCUGCUCAAAACAUUACCUCACACUGGUCAUGAUGGAAGGUCCCAUUACUUUGCAGGACUUUGAUAAUGGAUGUGUGAUGGGAUUUGGAUAUAGGACCCACAGAUAAAAAAA